GGCCGGUUAGCUCAGCUGGUUAGAGCGUGGUGCUAAUAAUGCCAAGGUUGAGGGUUUGAUCCCCUUCCUGGCCA